rnacentral:tRNA from 1 species
GGGCUCGUAGCUCAGCUUGGAUAGAGCGCUUCCCUCCUAAGGAAGAGGUCGAGGGUUCAAAUCCCUUCGGGCCCG